AUGGGACACCUCUCUACUGGGACACCUCUCUACUGGGACACCUCUCUACUGGGACUGGGACACCUCUCUACUGGGACACCUCUCCACUGGGACUGGGACAGCUCAAAAACUGGGACACCUCUCCACUGGGACUGGGACAGCUCAAAAACUGAGACUGGGACAGCUCAAAAACUGGGACACCUCUCCACUGGGACUGGGACAGCUCAAAAACUGAGACUGGGACACCUCAAAAACUGGGACACCUCUCCACUGGGACUGGGACACCUCUCUACUGGGACACCUCUCAGCUGGGACACCUCUCAGCUGGGACACCUCUCUGCUGGGACACCUCUCUGCUGGGACACCUCUCCACUGGAACUGGGACACCUCUCUACUGGGACACCUCUCCACUGGAACUGGGACACCUCAAAAACUGGGACACCUCUCCACUGGGACUGGGACACCUCAAAAACUGGGACACCUCUCCACUGGGACUGGGACACCUCAAAAACUGAGACUGGGACACCUCAAAAACUGGGACACCUCUCCACUGGGACUGGGACACCUCAAAAACUGGGACACCUCUCAACUGGAACUGGGACACCUCUCUACUGGGACACCUCUCUACUGGGACACCUCUCCACUGGAACUGGGACACCUCUCUACUGGGACACCUCUCAGCUGGGACACCUCUCUACUGGGACACCUCUCAGCUGGGACACCUCAAAAACUGGGACACCUCUCAACUGGAACUGGGACACCUCUCUACUGGGACACCUCUCUACUGGGACACCUCUCUACUGGGACACCUCUCUGCUGGGACACCUCUCUACUGGGACACCUCUCUACUGGGACACCUCUCAGCUGGGACACCUCUCUACUGGGACACCUCUCAGCUGGGACUGGGACACCUCUCUACUGGGACACCUCUCAGCUGGGACACCUCUCUACUGGGACACCUCUCUGCUGGGACACCUCUCUACUGGGACACCUCUCUGCUGGGACACCUCUCUACUGGGACACCUCUCUAUUGGGACACCUCUCUACUGGGACACCUCUCAGCUGGGGUUGGGACACCUCUCUACUGGGACACCUCUCUACUGGGACACCUCUCAGCUGGGUUGGGACACCUCUCUACUGGGACACCUCUCUACUGGGACACCUCUCAGCUGGGGUUGGGACACCUCUCUACUGGGACACCUCUCAGCUGGGUUGGGACACCUCUCUACUGGGACACCUCUCUACUGGGACACCUCUCAGCUGGGACUGGGACACCUCUCUACUGGGACACCUCUCAGCUGGGACACCUCUCAGCUGGGACACCUCUCUACUGGGACACCUCUCUACUGGGACACCUCUCUACUGGGACACCUCUCAGCUGGGACACCUCUCUACUGGGACACCUCUCAGCUGGGACACCUCUCAGCUGGGACACCUCUCUACUGGGACACCUCUCAGCUGGGACACCUCUCUACUGGGACACCUCUCAGCUGGGACACCUCUCAGCUGGGACACCUCUCUACUGGGACACCUCUCAGCUGGGACACCUCUCUACUGGGACACCUCUCUACUGGGACACCUCUCAGCUGGGACACCUCUCAGCUGGGACACCUCUCUACUGGGACACCUCUCAGCUGGGACACCUCUCAGCUGGGACACCUCUCUACUGGGACACCUCUCAGCUGGGACACCUCUCUACUGGGACACCUCUCAGCUGGGACACCUCUCAGCUGGGACACCUCUCAGCUGGGACUGGGACACCUCUCAGCUGGGACUGGGACACCUCUCAGCUGGGACUGGGACACCUCUCUACUGGGACACCUCUCAGCUGGGGUUGGGACACCUCUCUACUGGGACACCUCUCUACUGGGACACCUCUCAGCUGGGUUGGGACACCUCUCUACUGGGACACCUCUCUACUGGGACACCUCUCAGCUGGGACUGGGACACCUCUCUACUGGGACACCUCUCAGCUGGGACACCUCUCUACUGGGACACCUCUCAGCUGGGACACCUCUCUACUGGGACACCUCUCUACUGGGACACCUCUCUACUGGGACACCUCUCAGCUGGGACACCUCUCUACUGGGACACCUCUCAGCUGGGACACCUCUCAGCUGGGACACCUCUCUACUGGGACACCUCUCAGCUGGGACACCUCUCUACUGA
rnacentral:lncRNA from 1 species